UUUUAUGAGAGUUUGAUCCUGGCUCAGGACGAACGCUGGCGGCGUGCCUAAUACAUGCAAGUCGAACGCUUCUUUUUCCACCGGAGCUUGCUCCACCGGAAAAAGAGGAGUGGCGAACGGGUGAGUAACACGUGGGUAACCUGCCCAUCAGAAGGGGAUAACACUUGGAAACAG
rnacentral:rRNA from 1 species